UUUCAGGGUAUGGUCAGAUGCUUCCCUUCCCCCUAUUGAGAGUGAGCUGAAAUGCCAACAGGACAGAGGUUUCCGUGGUCAGCACAGCCUUAGCCACUGCAGUGUGUUUCUGAAGAGUCAGUCCAGCUGUGUUAAACUGUACAAUGGUGCUUUAUGGGGCCAAGGCAGAUAGGACCGUGCAGAGCUGAUCAGCCUGGGAUGAACUGAGACAGGAGUGCCCCUGCUGUGAUAGAAGCAGCAUAUUCAGGGCACAUGUUAUAAGUCCAGAAGAGAAAGGAAACAGGGAGUUUCUGAGAAGAGGGAGAGAGAGAUGUGGGAAUGGCUGGUAAGUGGAGCAGUCAGAACAUACUUAACAUUUAUUUAUUAAGUUUGCCGACUUAUAUGGUCAUAGUCUGUGGCACUGCACAAUUAGAAUAGUAACAUCAAAGGUCAGUGAUCAAAGACACCAUAGCAAAUGUAAUACUAAUGAAAAAGUUCGAAAUAUGAGAAUUACCCAAAUGUGAUACAGAUACACAAAGUAAGCAAAUGCUCUUGAAAAAAUGGUGCCAAUAGACUUUUUCAAUGCAAGAUAGCCAUAAGCCUUCCAUUUAUAAAAAAACAAAAACAAAAACAAAAAAACAACAACACACAAUUACCUGUAAAAGGUACUAAAAUGAAGCCCAAUAAAACAAAGUAUGCCUGCAAAGUCCUGCUGAAGAUGAGCUCACACUCUAAAAUUACAAAUUGUCAGGCAACAGUCCUCCAAGAGAUAGAAUUAGGCACAAAACAUGCAACAGGAUUAGAACCUAGGAACUAAAAUAACUUAGUAAUUUAAUUAACAACUUAUUAACAUGAAUCAUUUUGUGAUUAAGGACAUACAAAGAAAAAAACCCCAGCUAUAAGAAAAGAAAUGACACUUAAAAUAAGAAAGAGUGAGCAUGAUGGAGAAGAUAAAACUAGAUCCCUGCCUCACUCUGUAUACAAGAUAAAUUCCAGAUAUAUUAGGAUUUAAGUGUGAAAAGCAAACUUUGAAACUUUUGGAAGAAAACGUAGAAUAUUAUGACAUUGGAAUCGGAGAAGUUUUCUUGUACAGGACACAUAAAUCAGAAACCAUAGAGGAAAGUUGGAUAAAUUUGAGCUUUAUUAAAAUGAAAAACUUCUUUGGGAAAAAGGAUAUCAUAAAGAAGAAACAAAUAGUCUGAGGAAGAUAUUUGCACCCUAUAUAAAAAGGAAUCCUAUAACUUAAUAAGAAAAUGAUAGUCAAUCCAGUUGAAAAAGAUAUUAACGGUUCACAUAAGAGGCAAUAUAAAUGGUUGAUAAAUGUAUGAAAAGAUGCUCCAGUUCACAAGUAAUGAGGAAGUUGCAAAUAACAACAAAAGUUGGCAAGGAUGUGAGGAAACAGAAACACUUAUGCAUGUAGGGGCAUAUGUUGGAACGACCAUUGUGGAGAGAAAUUUGGCUGGAUCUAAUAAAAAUGAAGAUGUACAUACCAUCUCUCUCACCUGUCCACAGAAGGCAGGUAGUUGGUGAAUACCAAGUGACCAACUGACUUAAUCUGAGAAAUAAAAAAAAAAAAAGAUAUUUUCAUUGAUACAAGUGGAGACGAUUGCAUUUUGAAUAAUUUUUAAGUACCUGCUAUGCCUGCCAACAAGCAAAGAAAGGCGACUAGUUAAAAUUAUGUAUUUCAAAAUAGAUGGGCACAAGAAGAACUUCUUGGGAAGUGAAGGCACUGCUAAUAUAGCCAUAUGAAU